rnacentral:rRNA from 1 species
CCUACGGGGGGCAGCAGUGAGGAAUAUUGGUCAAUGGCCGGAAGGCUGAACCAGCCAAGCCGCGUGAAGGACGAAGGUGCCAAGCAUUGUAAACUUCUUUUGUCAAGGGACAAAAUCAGGCUCGAGAGCCUGACCGAGGGUACUUGAAGAAAAAGCAUCGGCUAACUCCGUGCCAGCAGCCGCGGUAAUACGUAGGGGGCUAGCGUUAUCCGGAAUUACUGGGCGUAAAGGGUGCGUAGGUGGUUUCUUAAGUCAGAGGUGAAAGGCCACGGCUCAACCGUAGUAAGCCUUUGAAACUGGGGAAC